rnacentral:rRNA from 1 species
CCUACGGGAGGCAGCAGUGAGGAAUAUUGGUCAAUGGACGAGAGUCUGAACCAGCCAAGUAGCGUGAAGGAUGACUGCCCUAUGGGUUGUAAACUUCUUUUAUAUGGGAAUAAAACGUUCCACGUGUGGGAUUUUGUAUGUACCAUAUGAAUAAGGAUCGGCUAACUCCGUGCCAGCAGCCGCGGUAAUACGGAGGAUCCGAGCGUUAUCCGGAUUUAUUGGGUUUAAAGGGAGCGUAGGUGGAUUGUUAAGUCAGUUGUGAAAGUUUGCGGCUCAACCGUAAAAUUGCAGUUGAAACUGGCAGUCUUGAGUACAGUAGAGGUGGGCGGAAUGCGUGGUGUAGCGGUGAAAUGCUUAGAUAUCACGAAGAACUCCGAUUGCGAAGGCAGUUCACUGGACUGCAACUGACACUGAUGCUCGAAAGUGUGGGUAUCAAACAGGAUUAGAUACCCGUGUAGUC